UGAUGUCGUGUGUUGUGCUGCAGACACCUCUGCUUUUCGAGUUCUUGAAAAGCUAGUUGCUCGAGAUCUUUGGCAGUUGCAAGAGAUCCCUUCGGGUAUUGGAGAGAUAAACAAGCUCAAACUCAUUCAUUUGCAUCACUGCUCUGAAUCUCUGGCUACUUCAACGGUGAGUUUCCUUGUCUGAAGUUCUUGAGAAUCGUCGGCUGUGAUGUCGUGUGUUGUAGAAUCGUCAGCAGUAAUGUCGUGUGUUGGGCUGCUUUUCGACUUCUUGAAGAGCCCUUAUUUGUACACACAUAAUGUGAUCGAUUUUAUGUUCAAUCAUAAAGAAUAAUUAUCGAAUUUAUUAAGGAAA
rnacentral:lncRNA from 1 species